AGUGAACGCUGGCGGUAGGCCUAACACAUGCAAGUCGAACGGCAGCACAGUAAGAGCUUGCUCUUACGGGUGGCGAGUGGCGGACGGGUGAGGAAUACAUCGGAAUCUACUUUUUCGUGGGGGAUAACGUAGGGAAACUUACGCUAAUACCGCAUACGACCUACGGGUGAAAGCAGGGGAUCUUCGGACCUUGCGCGAUUGAAUGAGCCGAUGUCGGAUUAGCUAGUUGGCGGGGUAAGGGCCCACCAAGGCGACGAUCCGUAGCUGGUCUGAGAGGAUGGUCGGCCACACUGGAACUGAGACACGGUCCAGACUCCUACGGGAGGCAGCAGUGGGGAAUAUUGGACAAUGGGCGCAAGCCUGAUCCAGCCAUACCGCGUGGGUGAAGAAGGCCUUCGGGUUGUAAAGCCCUUUUGUUGGGAAAGAAAAGCAGCAGGUUAAUACCCCGCUGUUCUGACGGUACCCAAAGAAUAAGCACCGGCUAACUUCGUG
rnacentral:rRNA from 1 species